rnacentral:rRNA from 1 species
UACGUAGGGUGCAAGCGUUAAUCGGAAUUACUGGGCGUAAAGCGUGCGCAGGCGGCUUUGCAAGACAGGUGUGAAAUCCCCGGGCUCAACCUGGGAACUGCACUUGUGACUGCAUCGCUCGAGUACGGCAGAGGAGACUGGAAUUCCCGGUGUAGCAGUGAAAUGCGUAGAUAUCGGGAGGAAUACCGAUGGCGAAGGCAGGUCUCUGGGCUAUAACUGACGCUCAUGCACGAAAGCGUGGGGAGCAAACAGG